rnacentral:rRNA from 1 species
CGGAGGGUGCAAGCGUUAUCCGGAUUCACUGGGUUUAAAGGGUGCGUAGGAGGGCAGGUAAGUCAGUGGUGAAAUCUUCGAGCUUAACUCGGAAACUGCCGUUGAUACUAUCUGUCUUGAAUACUGUGGAGGUGAGCGGAAUAUGUCAUGUAGCGGUGAAAUGCUUUAGAUAUGACAUAGAACACCAAUUGCGAAGGCAGCUCACUACACAUAUAUUGACUCUGAGGCACGAAAGCGUGGGAUCAAACAGGAUU